AUUGAACGCUGGCGGCAUGCCUUACACAUGCAAGUCGAACGGCAGCACGGGAGCAAUCCUGGUGGCGAGUGGCGAACGGGUGAGUAAUAUAUCGGAACGUGCCCGGUCGUGGGGGAUAACGUAGCGAAAGCUACGCUAAUACCGCAUACGAUCUACGGAUGAAAGCGGGGGAUCGCAAGACCUCGCGCGAUUGGAGCGGCCGAUAUCAGAUUAGGUAGUUGGUGAGGUAAAGGCUCACCAAGCCGACGAUCUGUAGCUGGUUUGAGAGAACGACCAGCCACACUGGGACUGAGACACGGCCCAGACUCCUACGGGAGGCAGCAGUGGGGAAUUUUGGACAAGUGGGCGAAGCCUGAUCCAGCAAUGCCGCGUGCAGGAA
rnacentral:rRNA from 1 species